AUUGAACGCUGGCGGCAUGCUUUACACAUGCAAGUCGAACGGCAGCGCGGGCUUCGUCCUGGCGGCGAGUGGCGAACGGGUGAGUAAUUCAUCGGAACGUGCCCAGUAGUGGGGGAUAGCCCGGCGAAAGCCGGAUUAAUACCGCAUACGACCUGAGGGUGAAAGAGGGGGACCGAGAGUCCUAGAGCCAUUGGAGCGGCCGAUGUCGGAUUAGCCAGUUGGGGGGGUAAAGGCUUACCAAGGCGACCAUCCGUACCUGGUCUGAGAGGACGACCAGCCACACUGGGACUGAGACACGGCCCAGACUCCUACGGGAGGCAGCAGUGGGGAAUUUUGGACAAUGGGGGCAACCCUGAUCCAGCCAUGCCGCGUGCGGGAAGAAGGCCUUCGGGUUGUAAACCGCUUUUGUUCGGGAAGAAAUCCUCUGGGCUAAUACCCCGGGGGGAUGACGGUACCGGAAGAAUAAGCACCGGCUAACUACGUG
rnacentral:rRNA from 1 species